AGAGUUUGAUCCUGGCUCAGGAUGAACGCUAGCUACAGGCUUAACACAUGCAAGUCGAGGGGAAACGACAUCGAAAGCUUGUCUUUGAUGGGCGUCGACCGGCGCACGGGUGAGUAACGCGUAUCCAACCUGCCCACCACUUGGGGAUAACCUUGCGAAAGUAAGACUAAUACCCAAUGAUAUCUCUAGAAGACAUCUGAAAGAGAUUAAAGAUUUAUCGGUGAUGGAUGGGGAUGCGUCUGAUUAGCUUGUUGGCGGGGUAACGGCCCACCAAGGCGACGAUCAGUAGGGGUUCUGAGAGGAAGGUCCCCCANAUUGGAACUGAGACACGGUCCAAACUCCUACGAGAGGCAGCA
rnacentral:rRNA from 1 species